rnacentral:rRNA from 1 species
GACGUGGGGCGCGAGCGUUGUCCGGAUUUAUUGGGCGUAAAGAGCUCGUAGGCGGUUUGUCGCGUCGUCCGUGAAAACUCACAGCUUAACUGUGAGCUUGCGGUCGAUACGGGCAGGCUAGAGUUCGGUAGGGGAGACUGGAAUUCCUGGUGUAGCGGUGAAAUGCGCAGAUAUCAGGAGGAACACCGGUGGCGAAGGCGGGUCUCUGGGCCGUUACUGACGCUGAGGAGCGAAAGCGUGGGGAGCGAACAGG